ACUUCAAAAUUCAAUCUGUUUUUGCAAAAUUGGAAAGCCACAGGAAACUUAUAAACCAAAGUUUGACUGGAACUUGCUACAAGUACUCAGUCCCUCCGUGGGAGCACCAUAGAAGAGCAGAGAUCCCGGCUUCUGAGCCAGACGCCAGAUGCUUCCCCUGCCCCAGCUGGUGGUUGUGCUUGUCACUGACUACUUGGGUGAUUCCUGCCGUUUGUAUGCUUCUCCGGCUGUGUGGGAGACACACUUCACCUUGUGGCUCCGCCCUACAAAGGUUCCGUUUGCUGCCUGGAAGAGCAGUCGACUGUGCCGAUCGGGAACGUCUCAUCGCACCCCUUUUCCACGCCAUCUGUCUGACCUGGACCCAUUCCAAACACUAUGGCUUUGCUGGCAGAAUGGUCUUCCUGCUACAGAAGUUUUGUAAUCUGCUAAUUGACAGGGCAUCCCGUUUGUGCGCGAUCACGCACUCCCCCCUGUGUUCUCUGCCUCAUUGAGAAUAUGGCAUCUCUUGGAGAAGAACACCAAUAUGAUCUACUAGAGAAUUAUCCUCUACUUAGUUUACUCAUUAAGCAAUGAUUUUAUUAUUAUUAUCUCUUUGUAGCAUGAGACAGAUGGCAAAGAAGGAGUUUGCUUUGCUGAACAAGAUGC